GUGCUCGCUUUGGCAGCACAUCUACUAAAAUUAGAACAAUAGAGAGAAGCUUAGCAAGGCCCCUGUGCAAGGAUGACAUGCAAAUUCGUGAAGCGUUCCAUAUUUUA
ensembl:snRNA U6 U6 spliceosomal RNA